AUGGGAGAUGAGCCAAUCUGGGAGCAGAUUGGAUCCAGCUUCAUUCAGCAUUACUACCAGUUAUUUCAUAAUGAUAAAACCCAACUAGGUGCAAUUUACAUUGAUGUGCCAUGCCUUACGUGGGAAGGACAGCAGUUCCAGGGGAAAGCUGCCAUUGUGGAGAAGUUGUCUAGUCAUCCCUUCCAAAAAAUCCAGCACAGCAUCACAGCACAGGACCAUCAGCCCACGCCAGCUGCAUCAUCAGCCUGGUUGUGGGCCAGCUUAAGGUGGAUGAAGACCCCAUCGGGGGGUUCCACCAUAUAGAUGUUCCUGUUGAAGAACAUCAACAAUACUUGGGUUUGCACCAAUGACAUGUUCAGGCUUGGCCUGCACAUCUUGAGCUGAU
rnacentral:lncRNA from 1 species